AGGGACUGGAGAGAUGGCUCUGAGGUUAA
rnacentral:piRNA from 1 species